UUUACAUUUUGAUUAUUGGGAUAAAAUAUUUUUAUUUAGAAUUAGGUGUACACUGCUUUUUAAAGACUUAGGGUCAGUGCAUCAUGUGACACUGAAGACUGGGGUAAUGAUACUGAAAAUUCAGCUUUACAUCACAGGAGUAAAUUACAUUUUACAAUAUAUUCAAAUAGAAAACAGUUAUUUUAAAUUGUAAUAUUUCACCUUUUUUUGAUCAAAUAAAUGCAGACUUAGUGAGCAGAAGAGUAUAUUAAUAAAAUAAAAUCUCGGUUUUGAUUUCAGUUGUCGGUUCUCUCACUUAUUUAUUGACUUGACAAUUUGUAAUUUCUCUGUUCCGCUUGACAGAUCCUGCACUUCACGAGCAAAAAAGACUCAUGUCGUCAGAAAUUAUACAGCACAUGGAGAGUGACUUUUAUGAUUUUGAGAUGAACUGCGGUCUGCUGCUGCUUCAGACAGAUGAUGCUUCCUCCAGCUAUUUACUGUUGUGAUGAGGCAUCUUCCAGCUAUAUAUAGUAUAAUGAUAAAAGGUGAGUGAAAGCAUGUUGAUCUUACAUCACUGGUUGCAAUUUUCUUGGCUGAUUCCGAAUUUUUUGUAAGACCUGCCAAUACUGAUUUACACAGACUGUUUGAUGAAGCUGGUGUGCCAUAAAUUAAUUUAUACCGCAAAAUUGCAAAUGCAUAAAUAAUUUUAUAAGAUUAAUCUUUUAAAGAAUUUUUUGAACAUACAAAUAAGAAAUGUUUGGAAAAAUUAAAUUAAUCUUUUAAAUAUGUGACCCUGGACCACAAAAUCAGUCAUAAGGGUAAAUUUUUUUUAAAUUUAGAUUGAAACUUAAAUAAUAAAUAAGCUUUCCAUU
ensembl:lncRNA